GGAAGAAUAAUACUACAUGCCAUGAUGUUGUGAUUGAAGUCCGCGACGUCAAUCAUUCGGGCGUGGAAGACCAUACCAAGCAGCAACCAGAAUAUCACGAGAAGUCAGUGCGCGAUAGAGGACAAGGAAAAAGGAAUAAACAGCGACUCUACUGUAGCCAGGACAAUUAUUGAGGAGCGGAGAUCCGUCCAGGUGUCCAGGCAACCCAGGAGGACAAUAGUUGAAGGCACCAGAAGCCUUAAGCACGAAGCAACUCCAGAAGCCUCUGCCGCGUCUAUAAAAGGAGCUACCGAGUGAAGCAUUCAGCAUCACCAAGAAUCACCGAGACAUCAGAAAAUCAGCAACACACCACCACAUCGAGCACCGAAGAAAGCAAGAUCACCGAAGACCUCCACCCACACUCCACUCAUACUCCAUGAAGACAUCCACCACCUCGGAACCUCUCUAAGGAAAAAGAUUUAGCCACCAUAUUUAGAAUCACCCACUACCGCUGUAUUACUCCACCUCAUCCGUACCACUACUAGAAUAAAGGGAGGCCGUUGGAGCUCGUCCCUCGGUUUGUAAGGUAAUCAAGGUUUGUGCUAUGUGCUUGGGGUUUCCAGAAAGGGAAAGCUGCAUGUAAGCUUGUCCCGUGGAAAUGGAUUAAGCUGUCCUGGUAGCAUGCCUGCCUUCCUUUAAGCUCGUUCGUAUGGGGCGAUGUCUCAACGCUAGGGACCCUAGAGGAGAAACCUCUGCGUGUGUCGUUCUCGUGUUAGCCCUGGUAGCGGUGUUUGAGGAGAACCCUGUGUGCGUAGAGAAGUGUUCCCUUCAGGUGGAACUUCCUGGGGAGACGGUACAGCCUGAGUCCUGUGUGAGCGUGGCUGGGGACGGUGAGGGUGCAGACCGGGCUGGCCUGGUUCUGAAGCGAGCCAGUGAGGCAUGCGGUGAGUACCGAGUAGGACUGUCACAAUCAUAGCAGCAUGUCCGGCUGAAUUCUUUCGGUCUCGCCAACCCGCAAAGAUCCUGAGAAUAGACUUAAUCAAGGAAUAUACCUAAUCACGCACCCGUGCGUGCCAUAUCCUCUGAAAGCGACCCCGAAUAGUAGCUCAAUAGUGCGCAAUAGUGAGUGAAUAGCGCUGCCACAUUUAGGUGCUCCACCCACUCCCUGGUGAGUGCUCGGGCACUAUUCAUAUUCCCAUUUUGAAUAGUGAGCUGAAUUUAAAUAGUGCCGCGAAUUUGAAUAGUGUUCGUCGAAUUUAAAUAGUGCUGUGAAUAGUAACUCGAAAUUUGAAAUCAGAAUUUUUCGAAGUCGCUUGAAUUUCCCUCAAAGCCGUUCAAUAAUCUCCCCGCACUGGACUCUGUGUGCGUAGAGAAGUGUUCCCUUCGGGUGGAUCUGCCUGGGGAAAUGGUAGAGCCUGAGUCCUAUGUGAGCGUGGCUGGGGACGGUGAGGGUGCAGACCUGGCUGGCCUGGUUCUGAAGCGAGCCAGCGAGGCAUGCGGUGAGUACCGAGUAGGACUGUCACAAGCAUAGCAGCAUGCCCGGCUGAAUUCUUUUGGUCUCACCAACCCGCAAAGAUCCUGAGAAUAGACUUAAUCAAGGAAUAUACCUAAUCACACAACCACGCAUGCCAUAUCCUCUGAAAGUGACCCCGAAUAGUAGCUCAAUAGUGCGCAAUAGUGAGUGAAUAGCGCCGCCAUAUUUAGGUACUCCACCCACUCCCUGGUGAGUGCUCGGGCACUAUUCAUAUUCCCAUUUUGAAUAGUGAGCUGAAUUUAAAUAGUGCCGCGAAUUUGAAUAGUGUUCACCGAAUUUAAAAUUACAUCCUUUACCGGACGGAGGGAGUACUAUUUGAUUCUGUAAGUUUGUAUAAUUUGUUCCGUGAGUUUAUAUAACUUGUUCAAUUAGUAUAAUAUUUGAGUUCGUAUAAUUUGUUCUAGGUGUAUAUAUCUUAAAAGAAUCUUCUAACUUGAUGUUCAUAUUCUACUAUUUUAUCUUACACAAGAAAAUAAGUUCCCAAUGUUGCUAAAGAGUUAACAGCAAUUCGGCCGGGGAAGAAUAAUACUACAUGCCAUGAUGUUGUGAUUGAAGUCCGCGACGUCAAUCAUUCGGGCGUGGAAGACCAUACCAAGCAGCAACCAGAAUAUCACGAGAAGUCAGUGCGCGAUAGAGGACAAGGAAAAAGGAAUAAACAGCGACUCUACUGUAGCUAGGACAAUUAUUGAGGAGCGGAGAUCCGUCCAGGUGUCCAGGCAACACAGGAGGACAAUAGUUGAAGGCACCAGAAGCCUUAAGCACGAAGCAACUCCAGAAGCCUCUACCGCGUCUAUAAAAGGAGCUACCGGGUGAAGCAUUCAGCAUCACCAAGAAUCACCGAGACAUCAGAAAAUCAGCAACACACCACCACAUCGAGCACCGAAGAAAGCAAGAUCACCAAAGACCUCCACCCACACUCCACUCAUACUCCAUGAAGACAUCCACCACCUCGGAACCUCUCUAAGGAAAAAGAUUUAGCCACCAUAUUUAGAAUCACCCACUACCGCUGUAUUACUCCACCUCGUCCGUACCACUACUAGAAUAAAGGGAGGCCGUUGGAGCUCGUCCCUCGGUUUGUAAGGUAAUCAAGGUUUGUGCUAUGUGCUUGGGGUUUCCAGAAAGGGAAAGCUGCAUCUAAGCUUGUCCCGUGGAAAUGGAUUAAGCUGUCCUGGUAGCAUGCCUGCCUUCCUUUAAGCUCGUUCGUAUGGGGCGAUGUCUCAACGCUAGG
rnacentral:lncRNA from 1 species